rnacentral:rRNA from 1 species
CAUGCAGUCGAGCGGACAGAUGGGAGCUUGCUCCCUGAUGUUAGCGGCGGACGGGUGAGUAACACGUGGGUAACCUGCCUGUAAGACUGGGAUAACUCCGGGAAACCGGGGCUAAUACCGGAUGCUUGAUUGAACCGCAUGGUUCAAUUAUAAAAGGUGGCUUUUAGCUACCACUUACAGAUGGACCCGCGGCGCAUUAGCUAGUUGGUGAGGUAACGGCUCACCAAGGCGACGAUGCGUAGCCGACCUGAGAGGGUGAUCGGCCACACUGGGACUGAGACACGGCCCAGACUCCUACGGGAGGCAGCAGUAGGGAAUCUUCCGCAAUGGACGAAAGUCUGACGGAGCAACGCCGCGUGAGUGAUGAAGGUUUUCGGAUCGUAAAACUCUGUUGUUAGGGAAGAACAAGUACCGUUCGAAUAGGGCGGUACCUUGACGGUACCUAACCAGAAAGCCACGGCUAACUACGUGCCAGCAGCCGCGGUAAUACGUAGGUGGCAAGCGUUGUCCGGAAUUAUUGGGCGUAAAGCGCGCGCAGGCGGUUUCUUAAGUCUGAUGUGAAAGCCCCCGGCUCAACCGGGGAGGGUCAUUGGAAACUGGGGAACUUGAGUGCAGAAGAGGAGAGUGGAAUUCCACGUGUAGCGGUGAAAUGCGUAGAGAUGUGGAGGAACACCAGUGGCGAAGGCGACUCUCUGGUCUGUAACUGACGCUGAGGCGCGAAAGCGUGGGGAGCGAACAGGAUUAGAUACCCUGGUAGUCCACGCCGUAAACGAUGAGUGCUAAGUGUUAGAGGGUUUCCGCCCUUUAGUGCUGCAGCAAACGCAUUAAGCACUCCGCCUGGGGGAGUACGGUCGCAAGACUGAAACUCAAAGGAAUUGACGGGGGCCC